GCUUAGAGUUUGAUCCUGGCUCAGAAUAAACGUUGGCGGCGUGCUUAACACAUGCAAGUCGAGCGAGAAAGGCCUUCGGGCUGAGUACAGCGGCAAACGGGUGCGUAACACGUAGGAAUCUGCCUUUCAGUGGAGAAUACCCUCGAGAAAUCGAGGUUAAUACUGCAUACGUCUUGAAAAAGAGAAAGAUGGCCUCUUGCUGUCGCUGAAAGAUGAGCCUGCGGUCUAUUAGCUAGUUGGUAGGGUAAAGGCCUACCAAGGCGAUGAUGGAUAGCCGGCCUGAGAGGGUGUACGGCCACACUGGAACUUAGACACGGUCCAGACUCCUACGGGAGGCAGCAGUGAGGAAUAUUGCGCAAUGGGCGAAAGCCUGACGCAGCGACGCCGCGUGGAGGAUGAAGGUCUUAGGAUUGUAAACUUCUGUUAAGUGGGAAGAAAAGCUCUGUAUUAAUACUGCAGAGAAAUGACGGUACCACUAGAGAAAGCACCGGCUAACUUCGUGCCAGCAGCCGCGGUAAUACGAGGGGUGCAAACGUUAUUCGGAUUUAUUGGGCGUAAAGGGUACGUAGGCGGUACACUAAGUCAACUGUUAAAUCUCCCGGCCUAACCGGGAUUCAGCGGUAGAUACUGGUGAACUAGAGGAUGGAAGAGAGAAGUGGAAUUCUUGGAGUAGAGGUAAAAUUCGUAGAUCUCAAGAGGAACACCGAUGGCGAAGGCAGCUUCUUGGUCCAUUUCUGACGCUAAGGUACGAAAGCGUGGGGAGCAAACAGGAUUAGAUACCCUGGUAGUCCACGCCGUAACGAUGAUCACUAGACGUUGGUUCUGCUCUGCAGGAUUAGUGUCGUAGCUAACGCGUUAAGUGAUCCGCCUGGGGACUACGAUCGCAGAUUAAACUCAAAGGAAUUGACGGGGGUCCCGCACAGCGGUGGAACAUGUGGUUUAAUUCGACAAUACGCGAGGAACCUUACCUAAGUUUGACAUGUAUAUGACCGCUCUAGAGAUAGAGUUUUUCUUGGGAA
rnacentral:rRNA from 1 species